rnacentral:rRNA from 1 species
GGGCCCGCACAAGCGGUGGAGUAUGUGGUUUAAUUCGAUGCAACGCGAAGAACCUUACCAGGGUUUGACAUCCUGCGAAUCUCUUGGAAACAGGAGAGUGCCUUCGGGAACGCAGUGACAGGUGGUGCAUGGCUGUCGUCAGCUCGUGUCGUGAGAUGUUGGGUUAAGUCCCGCAACGAGCGCAACCCACGUCUUUAGUUGCCAGCAUUUAGUUGGGCACUCUAGAGAGACCGCCGGUGACAAACCGGAGGAAGGUGUGGAUGACGUCAAGUCAUCAUGCCCCUUACGUCCUGGGCUACACACGUACUACAAUGCUACGGACAAAGAGCAGCUAACUCGCGAGAGUACGCAAAUCUCAUAAACCGUGGCUCAGUUCAGAUCGUAGGCUGCAACUCGCCUACGUGAAGGCGGAAUCGCUAGUAAUCG